rnacentral:rRNA from 1 species
GACGAACGCUGGCGGCGUGCCUAAUACAUGCAAGUCGAACGCACAGUUUAUACCGUAGCUUGCUACACCAUAGACUGUGAGUUGCGAACGGGUGAGUAACGCGUAGGUAACCUGCCUGGUAGCGGGGGAUAACUAUUGGAAACGAUAGCUAAUACCGCAUAAUAUUAAUUAUUGCAUGAUAAUUGAUUGAAAGAUGCAACUGCAUCACUACCAGAUGGACCUGCGUUGUAUUAGCUAGUAGGUGAGGUAACGGCUCACCUAGGCGACGAUACAUAGCCGACCUGAGAGGGUGAGCGGCCACACUGGGACUGAGACACGGCCCAGACGCCUACGGGAGGCAGCAGUAGGGAAUCUUCGGCAAUGGACGAAAGUCUGACCGAGCAACGCCGCGUGAGUGAAGAAGGUUUUCGGAUCGUAAAGCUCGGUUGUAAGAGAAGAACGGGUGUGAGAGUGGAAAGUUCACACUGUGACGGUAUCUUACCAGAAAGGGACGGCUAACUACGUG